GCUCCCUCCCGGUGUUACUAGCCCAGACUUUGCACACUACCCCUUGUGGCUCUUAGUUUUCGUGUCCCCCAAUCCUCCAUUUACCCAGCACCUUGAACAGUCCUGCUUCCCUUCCAAGGCUCGCCACCUGACUGACGCUCCGCGAGUGUUUUGAGCUGUCCAUCCUCAGACACUGCCGCAGAUAGGGGUUAUCGAUGAUGCUCUCCUCUCCGUUCCGGCUGCCAGACAAGGAGGAGUUCUGCUGCAGGACAGAUGCGUUCUCCUUCUCAGCUCCGGAAUCCUCCUUUGAGCAAAAGCCGAGACAAAGCAGAGCACCAGUUGCCGAGGAAAGAGACUGUGCCCACAGCGGGAACCACCUCUGGUGUCUCUUUCCUGAGCAGUGCUGACUCUAAAGGACCAAUAACCAUACUCCAGCAUAUUCCAGAACCUUCGGCAAUCCUGAAAUGAAGCUCAGCAAGGCGAAGCAGAGUCCCCGGAUACCCACACUUACAUACUGUCAGUGAUGCCUGUGACCUGUCAAUUGGUCUCUUCAUUAAUUUUUAGCAAAGUUUGAAUCUGGACCAAUGUUUAGUGUGUGUGUGUGUGUGUGUGUGUGUGUGUGUGUGUGUGUGUAUUCGGCGUGAAUUUAAAUUUAGAAAGUGACCUGGAUACAUGGAUAGUUGAUUUUCCUUAUUAAUAUUUAUACUCUCCUUUAGUUUCCA